UGGGGAAUAUUGGACAAUGGGCGCAAGCCUGAUCCAGCAAUACCGCGUGAGUGAUGAAGGUCUUCGGAUUGUAAAGCUCUUUUAGUAGGGAAGAUAAUGACGGUACCUACAGAAAAAGCACCGGCACACUUCGUGCCAGCAGCCGCGGUAAUACGAAGGGUGCUAGCGUUGUUCGGAAUCAUUGGGCGUAAAGCGUACGUAGGCGGCUUGAUAAGUCAAUUGUGAAAGCCCCGAGCUCAACUCGGGAAUUGCAAUCGAAACUGUCUUGCUAGAGUUUGGUGGGGGAUGGCGGAAUUCCUAGUGUAGGGGUGAAAUCCGUAGAUAUUAGGAGGAACACCAGUGGCGAAGGCGGCCAUCUACGCCAACACUGACGCUAAGGUACGAAAGCGUGGGGAGCAAACAGG
rnacentral:rRNA from 1 species